rnacentral:tRNA from 1 species
GUUAAGGUGGCAGAGCCAGGUAAUUGCAAAAGACUUAAGCCCUUUAAAUCAGGGGUUCAAUUCCUCUUCUUAAC